UAGACGGAAUGAAAUAUUUCUUCACGAUGGAGAAAUGGAUUAAUGGCCCCCGUUCCUGCGUGUCUCGAAUGAAAGUGGAGAAUUAGAAUUUUUUUCUUUUAUUAUUUUAUUCAUUUUCUUUUUUUUUUUUCUUGUUUUUUGUUUUAAGGCCAUAAGAGAAGACUGGACGAAGCCUCGAAUCUUGUGUAUCCAGAGAGAUGAUCAGAUUGAAAGGAAAUGAUGAACGUGGAAACAAAAAAGAUUGUUAGUUUGAUGUAUAUAAGUGAAUAUAAGCUGUUUAUGAUCAACGAUAUUACGAUUUGUAAUAUAUUAUAAAAGCUAUAAACAACUUUAUUACUGUAAAACUGUCGAGUAAAAAUACGAUUUUAUAAGGCGUGGAAAGAAGAUGGGAUAAGCCUUGAUCCACGUUGGAAUUGAAAUAAAAUUGUUGGUGAUAGAGGAUUUAUCGUCGAAAUGGUUUGUUAAUUCGAUCCAUAAAAGAAGACAGAACGAAUCGUGAAGAAAAUUUAUGCUUUAUUGAAAGAAAAUCGUGCGAGUAAAUAUUGGCCAUCAAAAGAAUGUUAAUGAUAAGAUGAAUUGGAAAAUUAUAAAAUAGAAAAAGAAUAGAAAUUCCAGAUUAUUUCCAGAUGAAUAAUCGUUAAAUUCUUAUUGAUUUGUAAUGGACAAAAGCUGUUAGAUUAAAUUGGCACGAUUAAUAUUCGAAAACUUUUUAAAAAGAACGAGUUACUUGGACGAAAGAAACAGCGGAUGAAUCUUCCUUAGUUCCAAUUAAGGCUGCAAGCGAAAAGGAGAAUCGUUUUAAUUGCAUAUGAUCAAGUUGAUUAAGCUUUCACGAUAAUUAUGUGCCGAGAUAAUCCUUGACGAUAAUUUUUACUACGCUUUUGUCUUCAUCAUCUUUGUUAAAACAAAGUUGAAGUUGUGCGAAAGAGGGACAAAGCAAAAGAAGAAGAUUGAAACUUACACAUUUUUAACAAAAGAAUAGAAAGUGAUAAAUAUCUUUGUGUCUAUAGAAAGAAACAAAAUCAUCAUAUUAAUAUAUAUAUAUUUUUAAAGUGAUUUACAAGUAAUUUACAAGGAGGAAGAUUUUUAAAAAUAAUUCUGGAAAGUCGAUUUCUAAGAUUAUAAAAGAUCUCUUCAUAGAUCUCUUCAAUUCUAUAUUUAUUGUACUCAAUAUAUAUUAUACCUUUCUCAAAUUGUUCAAAUUUGCUUAUAAAAUGAAGAAAAAUUAUAUGAAAGAUGAUCAUUGAAUAAAAAGAAAGUACUCGUAUAUUUUCUUCUUAAAAUUCGAGUCCUCGUUAAAAUAGUUUAGUUGGAUAGUUUCGUCUGAACCGAUGAUCAGAGAUAACGAAAGUGAAGUGAAAUCCAUCAACAUUGAAAUACACAAAGAAAGAAAGAAAGAAAGAAAGAAGGAAACUCGAAAUUCUUAUGAGAUAAAUCGAACGAGAUUAACGAGGCAAUUUUCACUUGUUCGUGAAGUUACGUUCGCACCUCUCGCUCACGAUACCAAUCACCGAGUCCACAAGUGGUAAUACGUCCGCUCGGUGUGCGCUCCUUCGUUCGCAUUGCCCUUUUCACGGCCAGGAUCAAGAUCGAGAAUGAGCUAUGGCCUCCUGUUCCCGAUCGUGGAUACCAUUCGAAUGCGGAAACGGAAAACGCUCCCUUUGCACCUAUUUCUUCUUUUAUUCUUCUCACUCUUCUUUUCGAAUCUUUGUAUUUUUUUAACUAUGUAUGAAAAGUAGGGAAAUUUUUCUUAUUUUUGCGAUUUAGAAAUUUUGAAAUGUGAAUUGAUUAUCAUUUUGAAGAAUUAUAGAAAUUUGGAAAUUCUUUUGGAAGUUCAAACAAAGAGUAAUUUUUAUAUUUUUGGAGAAUUUUAGAAAUUCAGAGAAAGAGUAAUUUAUAUUUCUUGGAAAAUUUUAGAAAUUUAGAAUUCUGGAAAUCUGGAGGAAUUUGUAUUUUUGGAGAAUUUUAGAUUUUAUUAAGAUUUUUUGCUCUUUGCAGAAUUAAUAUUACUUGGAAGAAAAGAAAAACUUUUGAAUUUCGAAAAUUUUUAUAUUUUCUACGAUGAGAAAUUUGAUUAUUACAAACGUGAAAAAUUCAUGUUUCUCUUGGCUAUUAUUAUUUUGUAAGCGAACAUAAUUCUUGAGAUGUCUCCGAUACGCGACGUGACUUCCUCGUAGUCAAGUUUAGUAUCUAAAGGAUAUUUUAUGGUGUGUCCCUUCGCGACGAAACCUCGUAAAUAUAUCUUAAUCGUGGCAUUCUCGGUUUAAUUGCAGUCAAUAUCAUUUUUUUUUCAUCAUUUUAUUAUAAAUUCAAAGAAAAAUUCGUUCAUUUUUAAACUAUAUCUAAAUAUUUAUAAUUAUGAAUUAUAGAUAUUUAAUAAUCCAUUUUUGAACAUAAAUAAGAAAAUUUCUUUCGUCCGAUUGAUUGUCUGAGAAACAAGAAACGAGCAAUUAUUGUAAAUCAUGUCAUUGAAAUUCAACAUUUCUUUUCGAAAAGGAAAAAAAUUCUCGACCUCCAUUGUUAUCCAAGAAAAAAAAAAUUCAAAGAUUUUAUUCGAUUUUCUAUUCUAUAUAACGAAUUAGCGGUUUUACUUUCUAUCGAAUUAAGAAAUUUGUUAUUAAGUAUGUCACAGUUUACUAUCUCCAAGGUUGAAUAUAAAAUAGGAUGAAAGUUUAGAGAGUCGUAAUUUUUGAUGAUUAAAGUCAAACGUGACAAAUUAUACUUCGAUAUCCAG